rnacentral:rRNA from 1 species
UACGUAGGGGGCGAGCGUUGUCCGGAAUUAUUGGGCGUAAAGGGCUCGUAGGCGGUUUGUCGCGUCGGGAGUGAAAACCUCGGGCUUAACUCGGGGCUUGCUUUCGAUACGGGCAGACUAGAGGUAUGCAGGGGAGAACGGAAUUCCUGGUGUAGCGGUGAAAUGCGCAGAUAUCAGGAGGAACACCGGUGGCGAAGGCGGUUCUCUGGGCAUGAUCUGACGCUGAGAAACGAAAGCCAGGGUAGCAAACGGG